GAACCUUAGAUUUCAACGGACAGGUUAGCAUUGUCUUCUACUUUCAGGUUCUAUUGGUUGUGUGUGGUUUGUCAACAUGUAGAAUAGUAUCGAUUGAAUUUCCAUGUCUUCAGAUCAUCUGAAUGAAAAGCUAGCAGCAGAUAUUGCUGUUCCAUUCAGGGAUUAAAGUGCAUCAAGCAAAUAACAUAUUCCCAAAAUUUUGGUUUAGAAUCAAAAUGAAAAUAUAGGGGAAAACCAUUAAAUUAAAAUUAUAUUUCACUCUAGAAGUUAUGAACGAAAGCUAUUCAAAUUUCCCAGAGUAUUAGUUGUUUUGAAUUAGGCCAAUAUCCUAUUUGGAAAAGCGGACUCGUUCAUGGUCCUAAAUGGUUAUUGGCCAUUAUCAUUGCUUGAGUAAUCACUAUUUCUGAUUUCUGAUAGCGUGGUACCUUGAUCUAGAGCUUAUGCAAUUUUUUUUGUCACUGUUUCUGCACAUGUAUUAGAGAUAAUAUUGUGAUGGCUAUGAUUUGAAUUUGCAUGUAAGAACAACAAAGUCCAUCAUUUGCAUGACCUUAUUGGAUCCAUACAAUGAAGCAAAUAACGUGUUAGCAUUCUUGUAUUCUUGUGCCUGAUUGAAUUUGUGUUGGCAAUCUGUAUUGCUUGGUUCAGCUCCGGCUGCUCACAUCCAAAAUGAUUUUGUGAAUUUGGCCAACCAGUUGCAUUCUUCACAUAAUGAUUAUGCUCCCCUUUGUUUGACUUAUGAUGGGCUACCAUCACACUUUUUAUAUUCUCUUUGAGAUUUAAAUAUUCAACCUUUGCGUGGAUGGACAUUUAUGUCUCAAUCUCACAUCUACAAUUUUUCCCUGACUGUUUCCUUCUCUCCCUCUCUCUUGUUUGUCUUUGUUUA
rnacentral:misc_RNA from 1 species